GUGAAGAUGCUAUGAACGUUGUUGAAAUAACGACAAAGAAUUUAAAACAUUGCUUAAACUUAAUUGAUAAAGCGGAGGCAGGGUUUGAGAGAACUGACUGCAGUUUUAAAAGAAGUUCCGCUGUCGGUAAAAAGCUAUCAAACAGCAUCACAUGCUACAGAGAAAGUUGA